ncrna:unclassified sequences IMES-5 RNA
CAUUACUUCGGAAAGAACUAGAACUCGAGACCCCGGAUCUGGAAGAAAAUGGACAGAAGAAGAAGGGUGAAAGGCACAACGAAAGUUGACCAUCUGUGAGCUAGAAAGGGUAUUAGCCACACAGUGAGAAACCCACACUGACCCCUUCAACUUCG